UACUCCUACGGGAGGCAGCAGUGGGGAAUAUUGCGCAAUGGGGGCAACCCUGACGCAGCCAUGCCGCGUGAAUGAAGAAGGCCUUCGGGUUGUAAAGUUCUUUCGGUAGCGAGGAAGGCAUUUAGUUUAAUAGACUAGGUGAUUGACGUUAACUACAGAAGAAGCACCGGCUAACUCCGUGCCAGCAGCCGCGGUAAUACGGAGGGUGCGAGCGUUAAUCGGAAUAACUGGGCGUAAAGGGCACGCAGGCGGUGACUUAAGUGAGGUGUGAAAGCCCCGGGCUUAACCUGGGAAUUGCAUUUCAUACUGGGUCGCUAGAGUACUUUAGGGAGGGGUAGAAUUCCACGUGUAGCGGUGAAAUGCGUAGAGAUGUGGAGGAAUACCGAAGGCGAAGGCAGCCCCUUGGGAAAGUACUGACGCUCAUGUGCGAAAGCGUGGGGAGCAAACAGGAUUAGAUACCCUGGUAGUCCACGCUGUAAACGAUGUCGAUUUGGGGGUUGGACUUUGUGUUUGGCGCCCGUAGCUAACGUGAUAAAUCGACCGCCUGGGGAGUACGGCCGCAAGGUUAAAACUCAAAUGAAUUGACGGA
rnacentral:rRNA from 1 species